rnacentral:rRNA from 2 species
UGGGGAAUAUUGGACAAUGGGCGCAAGCCUGAUCCAGCCAUGCCGCGUGAGUGAUGAAGGCCCUAGGGUUGUAAAGCUCUUUUGUGCGGGAAGAUAAUGACGGUACCGCAAGAAUAAGCCCCGGCUAACUUCGUGCCAGCAGCCGCGGUAAUACGAAGGGGGCUAGCGUUGCUCGGAAUCACUGGGCGUAAAGGGUGCGUAGGCGGGUCUUUAAGUCAGGGGUGAAAUCCUGGAGCUCAACUCCAGAACUGCCUUUGAUACUGAGGAUCUUGAGUUCGGGAGAGGUGAGUGGAACUGCGAGUGUAGAGGUGAAAUUCGUAGAUAUUCGCAAGAACACCAGUGGCGAAGGCGGCUCACUGGCCCGAUACUGACGCUGAGGCACGAAAGCGUGGGGAGCAAACAGG